rnacentral:tRNA from 1 species
GGGGGUGUAGCGUAGCCCGGUCAUCGCGCCUCGUUUGGGACGAGGAGGUCGCAGGUUCGAAUCCUGCCACCCCCC